rnacentral:rRNA from 1 species
GGAGAAGUAAAUAAGAGCGUACGGGGGAUGCCUAGGCUCUCAGAGGCGAUGAAGGACGUGAUAAGCUGCGAUAAGCUUCGGUAAUUGGCACAUACGAGUUAACCCGAAGAUUUCCGAAUGAGACAACUCACUAUAUUGAAGAUAUAGUAUCUGUAAGGAGGCCAACCCGGGGAACUGAAACAUCUAAGUACCCGGAGGAAAAGAAAAUAAUAAUGAUUCCGCAAGUAGUGGCGAGCGAACGUGGAACAGCCCAAACCAAAGACGUUACGGCGUGUUUGGGGUUGUAGGACUAUAAUAUGGACUAAUAAAUUGAACGAGAAUUAACUGGAAAGUUAAGCCGUAGAGAGUGAAAGCCUCGUAUUGGUAAGAUUUAUUUACCUAGUAGUAUCCUGAGUAGGUGGGAGCCGGUGAAACUCCCAUUGAAACUGCCAGCACCAUCUGGUAAGGCUAAAUACU